AGCCUGUGGAAAAGGGCAAAAAUGCAAAGAAAGAACCUGCAAUCUCCAAAGAAAAAGUCAAGACAAGCACUACCAAGACAACCACAAGCACUUCCAAGAAAGUUGUUUCAGAACCUGAGCCCCUAAAAGAGAAAGCCACUCCAAGAGUCCCCACUAUGAGGAAAGGGAACCACACAAAUGUAGUGGUGCCAAUGGUAAAAGCCAUGGCUAGAGUUGUCGCUAUAAGACCCAUCCCUACACCAAAAGUGACGGAGGAGAAGCUAUCCAAAGAACCUGAGACAGAGGUUGUUGUUUCCAAAGAUAAAGCUAAAACAACAGCUGCCAAGAAAGAGCCUGUGGCAAAGGACAAAUUAACUCCUACGAAGAAAGAGCCUGCAAUCUACAAAGAAAAAGUCAAGACAAGCACUACCAAGACAACCACAAGCACUUCCAAGAAAGUUGUUUCAGAACCUGAGCCCCUAAAAGAGAAAGCCACUCCAAGAGUCCCCACUAUGAGGAAAGGGAACCACACAAAUGUAGUGGUGCCAAUGGUAAAAGCCAUGGCUAGAGUUGUCGCUAUAAGACCCAUCCCUACACCAAAAGUGACGGAGGAGAAGCUAUCCAAAGAACCUGAGACAGAUGAUGUUGUUUCCAAAGAUAAAGCUAAAACAACAGCUGCCAAGAAAGGGCCUGUGGAAAAGGACCAAAUAACUCCUACAAAGAAAGAGCCUGCAAUCUCCAAAGAAAAAGCCAAGACAAGCACUACCAAGACAACCACAAGCACUUCCAAAAAAGAGCCUGUGGGAAAGGGCAAAAUAACUCCUACGAAGAAAGAGCCUGCAAUCUCCAAAGAAAAAGUGAAGACAAACACUACCAAGACAACCACAAGCACUUCCAAGAAAGUUGUUUCAGAACCUGAGCCCCUAAAAGAGAAAGCCACUCCGAGAGUCCCCACUAUGAGGAAAGGGAACCACACAAAUGUAGUGGUGCCAAUGGUAAAAGCCAUGGCUAGAGUUGUCGCUAUGAGACCCAUCCCUACAACCAAAGUGACGGAGGAGAAGCUAUCCAAAGAACCUGAGACAGAAGACAAGGUAAAGGAUGUGAAGACAUCAGAUGCCAAAGCUGAAACCACACUCUCUGUGAAGACAGCCCAGCCCACUCAACCACAUAAAGCUGAGAAGACUGAGAAGAAAGCUGUGAAGGAGGCUAAAGAGAAAGAAGUGAAGCCUCCUGGUAUAGCAAAAGAAUCUCAGACUGACGAUAAUGCCAUGGACAAGAAGAAGCCAGGUCAGAAAGUAUUGCAGUGUGUUUUAAUGGUUGGAAAGAAUGCCCACUACCCUUUGCGACCUUCCACCCCUGGUAUGACCCCUGUGUCGAUGAGCCCAGCCAUGCGGUCCAUGAUGUUGCAGCAGGCGCAGCAGCAGAAAGCCAGAGCGGCGGGGCAGUAG
rnacentral:lncRNA from 13 species